AUACGGAGGGUGCCAGCGUUACUCGGAAUCACUGGGCGUAAAGCGCGCGCAGGCGGCUAUUUAAGUUGGAUGUGAAAGCCUACGGCUCAACCGUAGAACUGCAUCCAAAACUAUUUAGCUAGAGUGUGGGAGAGGAAGAUGGAAUUAGUUGUGUAGGGGUAAAAUCCGUAGAGAUAACUAGGAAUACCAAAAGCGAAGGCAAUCUUCUGGAACACUACUGACGCUGAGGCGCGAAAGCGUGGGGAGCAAACGGGAUUAGAAACCCUAGUAGUCC
rnacentral:rRNA from 1 species